UUGCAAGACAUACAGGUCGAGCAAGGAUGAAAAUCGGACUUAGUGAUCCGGUGGUUCUGCGUGGAAGGGCCAUCGCUCAACGGAUAAAAGCUACCCUGGGGAUAACAGGCUUAUCUCCCCCAAGAGUCCACAUCGACGGGGAGGUUUGGCCCCUCGAUGUCGGCUCAUCACAUCCUGGGGCUGUAGUAGGUCCCAAGGGUUGGGCUGUUCGCCCAUUAAAGUGGUACGCGAGCUGGGUUCAGAACGUCGUGAG
rnacentral:rRNA from 1 species